rnacentral:rRNA from 1 species
AUUGAACGCUGGCGGCAGGCCUAACACAUGCAAGUCGAGCGGAUGAAGGGAGCUUGCUCCUGGAUUCAGCGGCGGACGGGUGAGUAAUGCCUAGGAAUCUGCCUGGUAGUGGGGGAUAACGUCCGGAAACGGGCGCUAAUACCGCAUACGUCCUGAGGGAGAAAGUGGGGGAUCUUCGGACCUCACGCUAUCAGAUGAGCCUAGGUCGGAUUAGCUAGUUGGUGGGGUAAAGGCCUACCAAGGCGACGAUCCGUAACUGGUCUGAGAGGAUGAUCAGUCACACUGGAACUGAGACACGGUCCAGACUCCUACGGGAGGCAGCAGGGGGGAAUAUUGGACAAUGGGCGAAAGCCUGAUCCAGCCAUGCCGCGUGUGUGAGAAGGUCUUCGGAUUGUAAAGCACUUUAAGUUGGGAGGAAGGGCAGUAAGUUAAUACCUUGCUGUUUUGACGUUACCAACAGAAUAAGCACCGGCUAACUUCGUG